rnacentral:tRNA from 1 species
UUUAAUGUAGCUAAACACUAUAAGCACUGGCCUUUUAAGCCAGUAAUGGGCCCAUUGCGCCCCUUAAAG